rnacentral:rRNA from 1 species
GUGAGUAACACGUGGAUAACCUACCUAUAAGACUGGGAUCAACUUCGGGAAACCGGAGCUAAUACCGGAUAAUAUUUUGGAACCGCAUGGUUCAAAAGUAAAAGACGGUCUUGCUGUCACUUAUAGAUGGAUCCGCGCUGCAUUAGCUAGUUGGUAAGGUAACGGCUUACCAAGGCAACGAUGCAUAGCCGACCUGAGAGGGUGAUCGGCCACACUGGAACUGAGACACGGUCCAGACUCCUACGGGAGGCAGCAGUAGGGAAUCUUCCGCAAUGGGCGAAAGCCUGACGGAGCAACGCCGCGUGAGUGAUGAAGGUCUUCGGAUCGUAAAACUCUGUUAUUAGGGAAGAACAUAUGUGUAAGUAACUGUGCACAUCUUGACGGUACCUAAUCAGAAAGCCACGGCUAACUACGUGCCAGCAGCCGCGGUAAUACGUAGGUGGCAAGCGUUAUCCGGAAUUAUUGGGCGUAAAGCGCGCGUAGGCGGUUUUUUAAGCCUGAUGUGAAAGCCCACGGCUCAACCGUGGAGGGUCAUUGGAAACUGGAAAACUUGAGUGCAGAAGAGGAAAGUGGAAUUCCACGUGUAGCGGUGAAAUGCGCAGAGAUAUGGAGGAACACCAGUGGCGAAGGCGACUUUCUGGUCUGUAACUGACGCUGAUGUGCGAAAGCGUGGGGAUCAAACAGGAUUAGAUACCCUGGUAGUCCACGCCGUAAACGAUGAGUGCUAAGUGUUAGGGGGUUUCCGCCCCUUAGUGCUGCAGCUACGCAUUAAGCACUCCGCCUGGGGAGUACGACCGCAAGGUUG